AUUUAAAUAAUUUAAUUAAAAUAUAAUAUUGAAGAUAUUAAAAUAACAUUUGUUUUUAAAUA
rnacentral:tRNA from 1 species